rnacentral:lncRNA from 1 species
GCAGGGCGGGGAGGCACCCACCGCGAGGGGGAGACUGAGAGCCAGUCCCUCCCACCCCCGGCUCUUAGGACUCGCAUCGCAAGCGGGGGAGGCACGCCACGCGAGGCGGGGACUGAGAGCCAGCCCCCCUUCCCCCCGGGCUUAGGACCCCCAUCGCGGUUCCUAAGAUCCUUAGGACCCACCUGGAGGACUGUGGGUAUGGGGUGUCCAAGAAGAAAGCUCAGAUCUGCCCACGGCAGGUACCUUACUUGGGAUUUACAAUCGACAGGGGUCCGAACGCAGCCCGGGAAAAGAAAGAAAGCAGGGGUCCGAACGCAGCCCGGGAUCAGGAAGAAAGCAGGUCGUUUGCAAUCUACCGGAGCCUAAGGGCAGAAGGCAGGAUCGUGGGAACAAUAUCCCAGGGGGGUUUCCACUUUCUGCCAUAUAUGUAGUCACAUCGCCCACUCCGCCUUGGAAUAUUAUUAAGGACCAUCUAACACGAGGGUGUAUACGUCCUGCGAUAUUACGAGUAAUAUCAACUUCUUGGCCUCUGAAUAUGAGGAAGAAUAUCACAGGGGGUCCGAAUGCAGCCCGGGAUCACAAAGAAAGCAGGUCGUUUGCAAUCUACCAGAGCCUAAGGGCAGAAGGCAGGAUCGUGGGAACAAUAUCCCAUGGGGGUGUACCCUUUCUGCCAUAUAUGUAGUCACAUCACCCACUCCGCCUUGGAAUAUUAUUAAGGACCAUCUAACACGAGGGUGUAUACGUCCUGUGAUAUUGGGAGUAAUAUCAACUUCUCGGCCUCUGAAUAUGAGGAAGAAUAUCACAGGGAUAUUAAUAACAAUUUCACAGGCUGGGUGAACACAGCCGGCGAUGCUGAAAUUAUUAUCAUCCUCUCCCCCUCUUCCCCUCCUGGCUCUCAGUCCCCGCCUCACGGGUUAUGUAGCGGGUUAUGGCAAGAAGACAAACUGCAGUUUCCUGCACAGAACAGCACAAACAAUGAUCCAAGCUCAGUUACAACACAAUAUUGGUCAUCAUUUGACCAUGGACUUCAAUAUCAACCCUUAGAAACCUUCCUAAAACAGGUCAGCAAAACACCAAGAAGCAAUAUCCUGAAUGAUAGGAAAAUAUCCUUGCUUGUGCAAAUUGUUUCCACUUAAUUUUUUUCAACAAAUGUUAAUUAUAUUUUUACUUUCUAAAAAUUUUUAAUAAAAUAUAGCCUACUUGGUUAAAAA